AUGAGAAAAAUGGCUGUGAGUUUUGAAAUGUCUUUGAGAAUUUCUUGGAUUUGUUGCCUGCUAAUUGGAGGGAUAACCUGUUAUCCUCCACCUAAAGGUAAUUAUAGAUAUAUUCCCCAAAAUCAAUUAAAAGGAACUGGCCACAAUGCAGGUGAAGCUACCGGCUCCCGUGCCUCGGCAGGUGAAGCAGCCACCCAUAAUGCCUCUGCAAGUGUCACGACUGGCCCAAAUACCUUAGGUGGAGCAACCGGAUCCCGUGCCUCAGAAGCAGCCACCCACAAUGCCUCUGCAAACAUCACGACUGGCCCAAAUACCUUAGGUGAAGCAGCUGGCCACAGUGCCUCGGCAGCGGAAGCAACUGGCCACAGUGCCGUGCAAGCGGCCACCCAAAAUACCUCGGCAGGUGUGGCUACUGGCCAAAAUACCUUUGAAGCAACAGGCCACAACGCUUCAUCAAGCGUCACGACUGGCCCAAAUACCUUAGGUGGAGCAACCGGAUCCCGUGCCUCAGAAGCAGCCACCCACAAUGCUUCAUCAAGC
rnacentral:lncRNA from 13 species